rnacentral:rRNA from 1 species
UUGGUACGGGAGGCAGCAGUCGGGAAUAUUGCGCAAUGGAGGAAACUCUGACGCAGUGACGCCGCGUGCAGGAAGAAGGUUUUCGGAUUGUAAACUGCUUUUAACAGGAAAGAAAAAAAUGACGGUACCUGUUGAAUAAGCUCCGGCUAACUACGUGCCAGCAGCCGCGGUAAUCCAA